GAUGAACGCUGGCGGCGUGCUUAACACAUGCAAGUCGAACGUGAGAGGUAGCAAUAUCUUGAAAGUGGCGCACGGGUGAGUAACACGUAGGUAACCUGCCUCGGAGUGGGGGAUAACAGUUAGAAAUGACUGCUAAUACCGCAUGAAUCCAUUAAGAUGGGAAUGUUGAUGGAGAAAACUCUGGUGCUUCGAGAGGGGCCUGCGGUCGAUUAGCUAGUUGGUGGGUAACGCCCACCAAGGCGACGAUCGAUAGCUGGUCUGAGAGGACGAUCAGCCACACGGGAACUGAGACACGGUCCCGACUCCUACGGGGGGCAGCAGUGAGGAUAUUGGGCAAUGGGC
rnacentral:rRNA from 1 species